UACGAAGGUCCCGAGCGUUGUUCGGAAUCACUGGGCGUAAAGGGAGCGUAGGCGGCGCGGUAAGUCAGAUGUGAAAUCCCGGGGCUCAACCCCGGAACUGCAUCCGAUACUGCCGUGCUAGAGGAUUGGAGAGGUAGCUGGAAUUCUUGGUGUAGCAGUGAAAUGCGUGGAUAUCAAGAGGAACACUCGUGGCGAAAGCGAGCUACUGGACAACUCCUGACGCUGAGGCUCGAAGGCUGGGGUAGCGAAAGGG
rnacentral:rRNA from 1 species